GGCCGUGUGAUAAAACACAUCGUGAGCCUAAUCAAGUACUUUGCACCGAGAUUCAUACAACGUUUUAUGCAACAGAGGGAUCUAAAGUUCGCAGUUUUCGAACAUUAUGAUCUCGAGUUGCAUAAAACUAUUAAAUUAACAGAUGAACAAUCAAAUAUUUA